CUGCUUACUUCAGUCGCACAUAUAAUAAAAUUGGGACAUUUAGAAAAGAUGAGCAUGGUCCCUGCACUGGAAUGACAUGCAAAUAGGUCUGAAAUAAUGCCAGAAUUU